CACGUAGGCGGACUGGAAAGUUGGAGGUGAAAUCCCAGGGCUCAACCUUGGAACUGCCUUCAAAACUAUCAGUCUGGAGUUCGAGAGAGGUGAGUGGAAUUCCGAGUGUAGAGGUGAAAUUCGUAGAUAUUCGCAAGAACACCAGUGGCGAAGGCGGCUCACUGGGCCAUUACUGACGCUGAGGCACGAAAGCGUGGGGAGCAAACA
rnacentral:rRNA from 1 species